UGCAAGUCGAGCGGAUCUUCAUUAGCUUGCUUUUGAAGAUCAGCGGCGGACGGGUGAGUAACACGUGGGCAACCUGCCUGUAAGACUGGGAUAACUUCGGGAAACCGGAGCUAAUACCGGAUAAUCCUUUCCCUCUCAUGAGGGAAAGCUGAAAGACGGUUUCGGCUGUCACUUACAGAUGGGCCCGCGGCGCAUUAGCUAGUUGGUGAGGUAACGGCUCACCAAGGCGACGAUGCGUAGCCGACCUGAGAGGGUGAUCGGCCACACUGGGACUGAGACACGGCCCAGACUCCUACGGGAGGCAGCAGUAGGGAAUCUUCCGCAAUGGACGAAAGUCUGACGGAGCAACGCCGCGUGAGCGAUGAAGGCCUUCGGGUCGUAAAGCUCUGUUGUCAGGGAAGAACAAGUACCGGAGUAACUGCCGGUACCUUGACGGUACCUGACCAGAAAGCCACGGCUAACUACGUGCCAGCAGCCGCGGUAAUACGUAGGUGGCAAGCGUUGUCCGGAAUUAUUGGGCGUAAAGCGCGCGCAGGCGGUUCCUUAAGUCUGAUGUGAAAGCCCCCGGCUCAACCGGGGAGGGUCAUUGGAAACUGGGGAACUUGAGUGCAGAAGAGGAGAGCGGAAUUCCACGUGUAGCGGUGAAAUGCGUAGAGAUGUGGAGGAACACCAGUGGCGAAGGCGGCUCUCUGGUCUGUAACUGACGCUGAGGCGCGAAAGCGUGGGGAGCGAACAGGAUUAGAUACCCUGGUAGUCCACGCCGUAAACGAUGAGUGCUAAGUGUUAGAGGGUUUCCGCCCUUUAGUGCUGCAGCAAACGCAUUAAGCACUCCGCCUGGGGAGUACGGCCGCAAGGCUGAAACUCAAAGGAAUUGACGGGGGCCCGCACAAGCGGUGGAGCAUGUGGUUUAAUUCGAAGCAACGCGAAGAACCUUACCAGGUCUUGACAUCCUCUGACAACCCUAGAGAUAGGGCGUUCCCCUUCGGGGGACAGAGUGACAGGUGGUGCAUGG
rnacentral:rRNA from 2 species